ensembl:snRNA U6 U6 spliceosomal RNA
GUGCUUAUUUUGGCAACACAUAUUUUAAAAUUGGAAAGAUUUAAAAAAGCUUAACAUGGAGCCUGUACAAGGAUGACAUACAAAUUCAUGAAGCAUCACACAAAUAA